GCGAGCGUAACUCAGUUGGUAGAGUGCUACCUUGCCAAGGUAGAUGCCGAGGGUUCGAGUCCCUUCGCUCGCACCA
rnacentral:tRNA from 1 species